rnacentral:rRNA from 1 species
GACGAACGCUGGCGGCGUGCUUAACACAUGCAAGUUGAACGGGAUUCGCUCUAUGAAGUGUUAUAGCGAAUUAGAGCGAUGAGAGUAGCGGACGGGCGUGUAACGCGUGAGUAACCUGCCCUUUGCUGGGGGAUAACAUCGGGAAACCGGUGCUAAUACCGCAUAAGACCACAGUGCCACAUGGUACGGCGGUCAAAGCUCCGGCGGCAAAGGAUGGACUCGCGUCCAAUUAGCUAGUUGGUAGGGUAAUGGCCUACCAAGGCGACGAUUGGUAUCCGAACUGAGAGGUUGAUCGGACGCAUUGGGACUGAGACACGGCCCAGACUCCUACGGGAGGCAGCAGUGGGGAAUAUUGCGCAAUGGGGGCAACCCUGACGCAGCAACGCCGCGUGAAGGAUGAAGGCUUUCGGGUUGUAAACUUCUUUGAUCGGGGACGAAGAUGACGGUACCCGAGGAACAAGCCACGGCUAACUACGUGCCAGCAGCCCGCGGUAAUACGUAGGUGGCAAGCGUUGCCGGAAUUACUGGG